UACGUAGGGGGCAAGCGUUGUCCGGAAUUAUUGGGCGUAAAGAGCGUGUAGGCGGUCCGGUAAGUCAGCUGUGAAAGUCAAGGGCUCAACCCUUGAAUGCCGGUUGAUACUGUCGGGCUAGAGUCCGGAAGAGGCGAGUGGAAUUCCUGGUGUAGCGGUGAAAUGCGCAGAUAUCAGGAGGAACACCGGUGGCGAAGGCGGGUCUCUGGGACGGUACUGACGCUGAGGCGCGAAAGCGUGGGGAGCAAACAGG
rnacentral:rRNA from 1 species